GAUAAACGCUGGCGGCGCACAUAAGACAUGCAAGUCGAACGGACUUAACCGAAAUGUUUACAUUUUGGAGCGGUUAGUGGCGGACUGGUGAGUAACACGUAAGCAACCUGCCUAUCAGAGGGGAAUAACAGUGAGAAAUCACUGCUAAUACCGCAUACACUGAAAGUAUCGCAUGAUACAUUCAGGAAAGGAGCAAUCCGCUGUAAGAUGGCCUCGCGUCCGAUUAGAUAGUUGGUGAGGUAACGGCUCACCAAGUCGACGAUCGGUAGCCGGACUGAGAGGUUGAACGGCCACAUUGGGACUGAGACACGGCCCAGACUCCUACGGGAGGCAGCAGUGGGGGAUAUUGCACAAUGGGGGAAACCCUGAUGCAGCAACGCCGCGUGAAGGAAGAAGGUCUUCGGAUUGUAAACUUCUGUUUUUAGUGACGAAACAAAUGACGGUAGCUAAAGAGGAAGCCACGGCUAACUACGUG
rnacentral:rRNA from 1 species